UAGAGUGUAAACCGAGACCAGAGAGGAGCUGCUUCUCUAACGUAAUGCCCCGCCCAGGCGCGCGCUUGCCUGCGCGGGACUCCUUAAACUGAAAACCCGGAGAGCGCUGGCCUCCUCAGAGAACGUCAGUUGACCCUGGUAGGACUCUUAGGUUACAGGGUGCGGUUGGGCCGCUGAGGAACCUGCGACAAAACUCGAGCUACACAAUUAGGAUCGCAUCUAAACGCCCAUAGGGCACUAGAAAGCCCUACUGUGAAUACAGCUAGAGAGAAACCAGAAUAAAAACCGUCUGGCUAGAAUUUCCUCCGGUCGAGGGUCUAAAACCUGAGAGAAAUCUUUACCUUCUCAGUUCUGGUUCGCACGCGUACAGGACGACUAGGAUCAAGAAAAUUGUGCCCUGCGACAUUCCGUACCCCGCUUCCCUUUCCCUUUUUUAGACUCUUGAACCGGAAGAAGAACGUUUUAAUGGUUCUUUGCCCUUUUCGGAGCGGGCCUACCUGGUGGAGUCUUGGAAGACCUUUAGGGAACUGUUAAAAUUCAGACAAAAACAAACAUCAGAUAAGUUUUUAGUGAGAGAUAGGCCCAGUGAGCCUGAAGCAAUUCUAGUGGAGUAAAGAGACAUAAGAAAAGAAGAACCUCAGAAGAACAGCUACCUGAUGUUUUAUAGAAAGGGCCUUCUCUUCCAAACAAUAGCAUUCCUCCAUCCCUCUUCUCCGAAUUCAGUCACCAAGAGCUCUCAGCAUUAAAGGAACUAACUUCAGAAGAGACAGACUUCAACGUCUAUGCAUUCCAGCUCCAGGAGAUUUGCUGACAUUCAACCAUGGAACCAGUAUAAUGUGAAGUCAGGAUGACUAACCCUGGAUGAUGCACACCAGACCAUCACUUGCCUUAUUGGAAUGGACUGUGUUCAUCUGCACGUAGAUCACUCUUCAACCCCCUCCCUUGAUUUCUUUGUUCUGGUUCCUCUCCUUCCUUAUAAAAACCAUGGCCUCCACUGAUUUGGCGGGGUGGGUGGCAGGUGGUAUUUGAGACAUGAGUCCCCCACCCCCAUAUUCUAAGUGGCCAGCACCUGAAAACAAACCACUUCCCUUUACAUCAGCACCUGCCUCUCGAAUAUUACCUUUUGUAGCAGCAGGCAGCUGUAUGUGUGUUCAAUUACAAUUUUUGGUGACCCAGAUGGACAAUGUUGACUCCGGGAAAGCCCAGAGGGCCCAGGCUGGAGUCCCAGCUCCUUGUGACAGGCAGACCCAGGCAGGUAUUACAGGAAUUUUUCAGCAGCUGCCAAGAGUUCUUUAUCUCAGAGACUCUUCCUGCUCUGUCUCUUUCAAGGCAUCAGCUGCCAUUAAAUGCUUUGAUGAUGAAAGGAAGUGGAUUGUUGGUGGGAUAAUGAGCCCAGUCUGGGUAAGUCCCUGGUGUGCACAACCAAGAGCCCCUGCCCCACCACUCGGGUUCUUUGAACUAUUUGGGAUACUUUAAGAAUCAAUAGACAUUGCUCAGUGGUAGGCACUCCUCAGUGACAAGAAAAAUAUCCCAUUUCCCCAGUUUGGGUUUUGGUGGAGCGUUCUUUUGGUUUUGCUUUGGGUAUUGUUUGCUUUUCUUGCAUUCAGUUACAUAAGGUUCCCACACUAUGCCUUACUUGUUUGUGCCAUCUUGUUAAUUACUUUAGGGAAACCCUGGAAUCGUCUUUUAACAAAUGGAUUGAGAUCUGUCCCAUCCGGUAAGAACCGCACAAUUUGGGUACCUCAUUUACAUGAGAUGAACCUAACCCGAACAGGAACUUUUGUUAUAAAAGAUUGCUGGCUUCCCCUUUGUUGCAGUCACACAAUUUAGGUUUUUUGAAUCUGUCUCCUGGGCAGAAGCUCCAUUUUAGUCAAAUAAAUGCCUUUUAUUCUUGCUUAUAUUCUAAAAUUAAUUUUGGUUUACAACCAUCUGGUGCAAUGCAACAUAAAGUAAGCAGCAUCAUGUAUAAAACAAUUCUUGUCAAAAUAUUUCGAAUCAAUCUGUUGCCAGUGAAAAUGUCUUCUUGUGACAUCAUGAGAAAGGCAUUUCAAAGUGCACAUGCGUAGGAGAUGUUUAAGCAUAGUGGCAAGAUUUAUUUGGAUGAUAAAAAUAAUACUCUCUAGAGGAUGGGAGGGGGCAGGCUGUAGCAGAAACUGUCCCAACAUUCCUGAUAAUCCUCCAUGUAUUUUCUUGGUUUUCAGGAAUGAGCAGGCUUUAUUUCAAACUAUCCAGCCCACUUGGAUUCUCCUGGGCUUUGCUGGAUGUGCCCCUUAACCAAUAACUUUUCUGGAUCUGCCAGGUUUUUAUACUCUUAUCCAAUCUGAUUCUUUACUGAGAUUUUCCUAGGUUGACUAGGCCCCUUCAUGUCACCAUUUUGUCUCCUACUGUGCAUGCUCUGAAGUUUUGCUAUAUCAUCAAAUUUCUGCUGGGCAUGUACCUAACCAAGAAAUUUUCUCUGAAAUUUUAUCACUCCCCCAUGAUAACCCUGGCUAGUGGUUGUCCCCAGGAGAGAUUGGAAAACCAAUUCUUCAAGCUCAUUCCUGCCCACUUGGGGAUAUCUCAGGGAUUAAGUUCCUUUUGCAAAAAAUACAGCAAUCCCCUGGGGAGUCUGUAAAUUCUGCAGUUUCCUAGUGAAUCAGGCUUAAAAGAUUUAGCUUUCUAGUUUAUUGGGCUUAAUGUCUGAUUCUAUUUGCUCCCUUCCUUAACUAAAUAGCUACCCACACUAACAAAUCCAAUGAAGACUUAGAUCUGCCCAUGCCUAUAUAUGUGGUCAAUUAAUCUAUGACAAAUUAAGAAAGAAUAUAAAAUAAGGAAAGAAAGCCUAUUCAAUACAUGGCAUUGGGAAAACAGAACAGAUGCAUGCAAAAAUUAAAACUGGACCACUUUCUUACACUAUAUGUGAGAAUAAACUCAAAAUGGAAUAACCCAGUAGGGUUCAUAAUCAAAAAAACUAUAGCAUAGGUCAUGUGUCCAAGCAUAGGAAUGUAUCCAAGAGAUAUCUCUUGGAUACUCAAUACUAGCAUGUACUGAAAUGCAAAAAACAAAAAAGAAGAAAAGAAAAACUGCAAAUUUGCAUUUAUUAUGUUUCUAUAAUAAAAUAUAUGAUUUUUACUUUCAGUUAAAAUCUAGAGAUUAUUUCUUUUAUUUAAUCUCGAUUGUAUUUUUCCAUUAUCAUUUAGUCUCCUUAUACCUCCCUCCAUCCAGUUAUCACCACAUGGUUGGUUAUCCAUGUCCAUGAGUUCUUUCUUCUUUUGGCUCACCAUCCCACCACAGUUGUCAUCCUCCUCUCUAUCUAUGAGUGUGUCCCCAUUUUUCUCUUAGUUCAGUUUGUUGAAUACAUUCAACAUGAGUCAAAUCAUACGGUAUUUGUCUUUCUCUGACUGGUUUAUUUCACUUAGCAUGAUAUUCUCCAAGUCCAUCCAUACUGUUGCAAAGGGUAAAAUUUUAUUCUUUUUUAUGGAUGAAUAGUAUUCCAUUGUAUAAACUCUCCAUAGUUGUUUUUUUACAUUCAUGCACUGAUGGACCUUGGCCUUCUCCCAUAUUUUGGAAAUUGUAAAAAAUGCUGCAAUGAACAUAGGGGUGCUUAUGUUCUUUCAAAUCAGUGUUUUAGGUUCCUUAGUAUAUAUUCCCAGAAGUGGGAUCAGUGGGUCAAAAGGCAGCUCCAUUUUUAAUUUUCUGAGGUAUCUCCACACUGCUUUCCACAGUGGCUGCACCCAUCUGCAUUCCCACCAAUAGUGCAAAAGUGUUCCCCUUUCUCCACACCCUCACCAGCACUUGUUGUUUGUUGAAUUAUUGAUAAUAGCCAUUCUGACAGGUGUGAAAUGAUAUCUCAUUGUGGUUUUUAUUUGCAUUUCUCUGAUGACGAGUGACAUUGAGCAUCUUUUUAUAAGUCUAUUGGCCAUCUGUGUGUCCACUUUGAAAAAGUGUGUAAAUUAUUAAACUAAGAAAUAUAAAAACAUAAAGAAUAAAAUUGUUUCAAAUAAUAGAAACAUGGAUAUUGCUAAAAAAAAUACAACCAAAAUGUCUUUAACAUUAAUUAAUCAGAAUCUUCAAUAGUUGGCUUUGCACAACCUUUAUAACAGUCAUUGCAGACAAUAGUGCUCUGCUGAAGGCAUAAAUACUUUUCACAACACUUGUGAAAGUAUUUUGACAAGCAACUCAUUUGAAUGCAUAACACUUUACACAUCUUUUUUUUCCCCCUGCUUGUCAGGGAGACUAUGUCAUCAUUAGAGUUUUCUUCAAUUUGUGUUUCAGAUUGAUGAACUUUUGGGUGUAAAGGCUUAUGCACACCUGUAGAGACUUCUGAACACCUUUUUAUUUGUUUUGACACUGUUAUAAGAUUUCCAAUAAAUAUUCUGCACCUUAUUUUCAUGUUUCCAUUCAGCAUAUGAAUAAUCUGAGCAUUUACUCCUGCAAUAUCCCAAAUUGGGUAAACGAAAACAUAGGCCAUCUUCUGGUGUUCCUGGCUACAUUAUAUGUACCUAUCACUGGACCCACAGUGUUAACUCCUGGCUUCAUUUGGUUGUAAUAUUCUAUUAUAUCAGGCUUUUUUGACUCUAUGAAAUUACAGCAUCAUUGAAAUGCAUACUUGAAACUAAAAUUACAUUUCAUCACUAUUUGUGUAUAUGAAAUACAAGUGUGCAAUCUUCACCAACACAAAAUAAGUUAGAUAUGUUUAGCCUGUUUUUAGAAGACACAAAUUCAGGUGGUAGUUGGAGUUUAUUCUUACAAACAGUGCCUAUGUAUGAAAGUUGCUUCUUUUCAGGUUGGAGAUAAGAUUUAUAUCCAUGAACUAGUUAUCUGCUGUAAUACUAUGUCUUAAUAAAUAAAGUCUCUUGAUUACAUUUGCUGCUUUAUUACUAAUU